GCUCUGUGCACGCAACUAAGGAGUUCUACUUCCGCCGCCUUGAGUGUAGGGCCGACCGUUUCCGGUCUUAAGAUAUGAAGUAAGGAUGAUAUGAAUCAUGGCGCUGUUUUACACCCAAUUUCUGCAAGAUCUACCAAAGUUAACAAUUACCGACGAUCACCGGCUAGUACAAGCGGCAUGCUCAGCCCCGAGGAGCAAAAAGGAAAAGGUUUAUUAAGUUACAUCGACAACUAUGAAGAUUGUCUUUGACCACUGCUCACCAGUUGACAUUUCAGUGGCAGACUGUUCCUGUGUGGCUGGAAGAGCACCCGACUGAGAGCCCACCCUUCCGACUGAUGGAAAAGAAAUGUACCAACGCAAAGAGCCAUGUAGACUGUAGCUCCUUGAAAAUGCCUGUGUAACGAUGAAAUUAAGCAGACUCACAGCUACUACUGGCAGGUGCAAGGCCAGCCAUCACUUGCAGUGAUGCAGUGAUGUGAUUUUGGUGUUUUUGCAGAGUAGGAUUUUUUCAUACAACACAUUUACUGAGAGACUGUGAGGUGGCUAUAAUAACCAUAAGGGAGAUUAUUUACAUGGAUGUUUGAAUCACUUAUGGCAUGUAAUUUGAUUAAUAUGCACUACAUUUUUUCUCUUUAAUAAAUAUAUUACUUUAAUGUG